CGACCCGCGGGGUGUGGUGGUUGUGGUGGCGGGCGUCGGAGGGGAUUCCCACGCCCCCUACGUGCGGAGCUUCGCCCAGGC
rnacentral:SRP_RNA from 1 species